UGCCUGUUGGUCUCUACCCACAGGGGAUCCCCUGCUGCUCCACCAUCAGAUUUGGGACACCACCCCCCCCCCGGCCCCACCAGAGGGCAUCAGCUAUGCCUAGAAGGGGACCACAACAGACUCGACAGGAUCCACCGGUUGGGCCCAAGGCAGGAGGAAGGGCGGCGCCCCCAAACUCCCAGGACGCCUGCAGCACCCCCCACGCGCCGCUCUCCGCCUCUGGGGAGCAUCCUGCCACCCCCCGACACACACACCCCGGCUACAUCCCGCCUUCUCACGCUUGGUCAGGCGCUCUGGAGAUGUCGGAGAUCCAGGCUUUUCCUAAAGAGUCAGGAUUGGAAGGCGGUGAGGGCAUCAGGUUUUUUUUCUUCUCUUUUCUUCUAGCAAUUACGCCCCCGUGGCUAAAUUAAACUCCCAUUGGCUAAAUUAGGCUCGAAGAGAGGGGCACCUGCUGCUAAGCUGUGUAUGUUGUCCCCUAGGACUCCCACCGUUUGCUGAGCUCCACAUGACAACAGCAGACGACAGGCCGCACUGAUCCCACCUGGCUUACAGGUGCUGUCACACAGGUACGCCUUCUUGUGAAUCAUCAGUCACCAUUUGCCCCUCGCAGCAACCCUGUCUUGGAGGAAGGUCCUUGCCGACACCCGCCUCUCCCCACCCUUAGGCUCCCUUGCUCCUUCAUUCAACCAUUGUUUACAUGUCGUUCAGGACUGCUGACUAAACACUUUCAAGCACAGUGGACCCUUGAACAACGCAGGUUCAAACUGUGCAGGUCCACCCACAGGGAUGUUUUUCAAUCAGAGUUAUACCAAGUGUCCCUGCCUCUCCUGCCUCCCUUCCCACUUCCUCCAUGUCUUCCUCUCUGCCACCCUGAGGCAGCAAGACCAGCCCCUCCUCCUCAGCCACUCAACAUGAAGACAACGAGGAUGAAGACUUCUAUGAUAAUCCACUUCCACUUAGUAAAUGCUUUCUCUUAUGAUAUUCUUAAUGACAUUUUAUUUUCCCAAGCUUAGUUUAUUGUAAGAAUACAGUAUAAAUACA
rnacentral:lncRNA from 1 species